AGGAAAUCAUAUAUAAAAACGCAGAAUAGAGGAAGAAACAGCAAGUUUUGGGAUGGGCUGAAAGAAAUUCUCCUGCUGCCCCGGGACAAACCCGCCUGGGGCCACAGUCCGAGCGGAGCUCCCCGGCCCCUCCGCGGCCGCAUCUGGGAUGCUCUCUGGAAAGCUCCAGCACAAAGAAGCUGCACGGCGGCCAGGAGCGUGCGGAGCCCGGCGGUCCCCGAGCCCAGCCCUCCCCUGGAAAUCAGAAACCUCAUCAAGAAUAGGGCUCGAGACAGUCCCCUGCGUGGCCUCCACGGCGGAGCAGCCAGACAGGACGGGGGGACAUUGCACGGCACUCGCGUAGCUGGUGACCACAGUGCCACCAGCCCCAGGGGCCCAGCCCCAGCUCCUGCCCAGCCAGACUGGCUGUGCCCGGAGGGGAGCUGGGGCUCGGGGAGCCGCCAUCGCCGCCCGCACAUGGAUGCCAGAGCCGGGCCGGCCCCAGCAGAGCGACCCGGUGCCGGCUGCCAUGGGUUGGAGCCACGAACCCGGCUGCCACGGGGGACACAGCUGAAGAGACGGCCGUGGUGACACCUAAGGACAUGGGUCUGCGUGUGCGCGUGCUUUUCCUGCAAGGUGCUGGGGUCCCCUUCCGUCCUGCCGCUCCAUCCCAGCCAGACCCAGUGCAUGGGUCUCCCCAUGUGUCCUCCCCAGCAAUGGGCAGGGCAUGGGCAGGAUGAGACCCGUCCCCUUUGCUGAAUGCAAUGUAGGAGGAGGCAGAUGGGGAAGGGGACGGGAGCUGGGCCAGCUCCUCAAGGAGACAUGAUGGCCAGAGCCCAAAGGGACCCUGGUUGUCCCCACUGAUCCUGCCCAUCCCUCUGUCUGUCAGCUGGUCCUGGUGCUUUCUGCUCUGGACCUGCCCUGCACUGCCAGUGCCGUGUCCCGGCGGGACCCUGCCUCUACUCUGUUUGAGCGAACGCCCGGUUUGUGGAGCAGCCUGGAGCAUGGGGAGGGACACGGGCAGCACAGCGUCCUCUCGAGGCCCCGUGGGAUGGUCCCCGUGGGGCCGACAGUGGCCCCAAAAGCGGGUGCAACCAUCGCCCCGCUGCCCGCUCCAGCAAGCGUCCCCCGAGCAGGUGGGAGGGCUGGGUGUGCAGCAGGCUGGGGGCCGAGGGCAGGCACAGCUCGUGGCAGGCGUUACAGCCCCUUGAAGUCCAAAACGGAGAAGCGUUCUCGUGAGGACUAGAGGGACCCAGUGCUGCAGGAGGAGGUGACGCAGAGGAACACGGGGCGGGGGGUGCCUGGCUACCCCUUCCCGGCGUUAUUUCUCAGGGCACGGUGCAGAGUCCCGCGGCAAUCAGCCCUGCUCAGCCGCCCGCUCCUGCAGGCAGCCCCGGGAGAGGCAGUUUCAGAUGGGGGGGGGGGAUAAGCUUUUGGGCACUUUUCCUCUGCUCCGUGUCAUGGUUUUCCUUGCUGGACCUUGUCCCCCCUCCAUGGGCAGCGGGAGCUCGGUGGAGGCCCAGAGCAGCCGUCGCUGUCUCUGCAGAAGCCCUCCUCUUGCAGAGCUGCCCGGAGCCUCGCCCCAGGCGCUGCCAGCCAUGCUUUCACCCCUUCCCUCUCUGCUCGUUCCAGCCCCUUUACGCCCUUACCCCGGAGCCUUGCCGUGCCACGUCAAGAGUCCAGCUCUGCGGGGAUUGACUCCUCCCUGCAGCCCGUCUCAUCUUCACCGGUACCGGGGAUGGGAAACGCGUGUUGCACGGGGGCACACGCUGCUCGGGGCGUUUUGUACCUCACCAGCAUGGGUGAUAGGGGCAGAUCGCUGCAAAGCAUUUAAUUCAGAAAGUAGGUUACGUUACGCAGGCUAAACCAUCCACUAACACCUUCCCAAAUCUCAGUCCAGUGGCAAAGCCCAAAAACUCCUCCUGCUCUCGUGAGCCAGAGCCCCGCUGCUUCCGCAAGAGCCGAGCAGACCCUUCCCCAGGAAAGCGCUCCUCCGCCGGCGGGGGGGCUAACCGGGACCAGCUCUGCAUGCUGCCGCUGUGCUCCAAUAUUAACCUACUAACCCACCGGGACCCCUGCUGCCCCCUCUGCGGGGGGGGCCGGGGGCUGCCGAAGCCGCUGACAAACGGACUAACCCACUAACCGGCUCCAGCGCAUGCCCUACUAACCAGCCUUGUCUCGCCUCCCACUAACCGCGGGCAGCCAGCGCUGUCUUUAAAGGGGAACAGAAAAGCUGGGUAAGUACGUUUGUAAGUGCCGGGUGUUGCUGUGUCGGUGACAGGCUGCACAGGCAGGGCUGGGCAGCCCGAGGAGCCCCUGCAGCGGGCAGGAGAGGCAGCUGGCAGCCCCUGCCCCGUGCAGGCAGCCCUUGCCCCGUGCAGGCAGCCCCUGCCCCGUGCAGGCAGCCCUUGCCCCGUGCAGGCAGCCCCUGCCCCGUGCAGGCAGCCCUUGCCCCGUGCAGGCAGCCCCUGCCCCGUGCAGGCAGCCCCUGCCCCGUGCAGGCAGCCCCUGCCGGCACCAGGAGGGGGUUUCUCCCCGCACGCCGUGCCCAGGUCUGCCUGUGGAGCCUGUUGCUGACUAGGAGCCUAAAAUGGUUUUAUCAGCAGAAGCUUUUCAGUUCCUUUUUAAGCCAGUAGAUCUCUGUUACUAACACAUUCCUGAACUGAAUUAAACAAACUAACCGUUGCUGCUUUUCUCUUCAUUUCUCUUCCAGUGUGUAUGUCCUCUAAGUCAGACCGAUUGUGCCAUGCUUCUGUUACUAACCGCCUGUACUAAUUGUUCCUGACUUGUUUCUCUAUUGCUACUAACAAACACUCUCUGCACUGUAACUCUCAGAUGCUAUUCGCCAUGACAAAUGAACAGUGGCCUCCUCCUGAACUCUUGGCUGUUAACCUGCAGCAGCCCCAUUUUCAGUGCUGCGGAGCAUCUUUGUCUCCCAUUCGGUGCGAUGGAAAGGACGAUGCUCAGGCUGGGGGGGCUUCAAAAAUUUCCCUAUUGGCCUUCUGUUUUCCAAGAAAUUUCAUGUGGCUCAAUGAAGAAAAGAGGCUGAGCGGAAAUAGGACAAUGCGGAAACCAUUGAUAACGAUUGGUAAUGGCCGUAAAGGUCCAGCAAACCCAGUUUGCAGAGAGAUUCAGCCAAAGUGUGAUGCGAUUGCCAUGAGCCCCACCAGAGCCCGAGCCUGGGGCUCUCCUGGGGCCCCAGUUCACCCGUCAUGGGGAAUGGUCUCAUGCUGCUCCCCGCAUCAGCACGCGGGUGCCGGGGCGGCUGCAGGGCACUCCUGGGCUCCUCUCUUCACUCCCUUUGUCUCUCCACAGUUUAUCUUGUGACCCUGAUGCAUGUGGAAGCCAUUGCCGGCAGCGUGGUCCUGACUAACCGCACGGCGCCGAGGGCUGCAUCUAACUCUAACGCUGGGUUGGUACUUGCAGGGUCCCCCCGCCCCCGGCCACGAGCCAAACGGGCAGGAGCAGGCAGCGGGCGAUGGAGGGUGGCUCUGCUGCCUGGCAGAGCCAGGACGCUGUAAGGCUGGGAUGGGGCCACAGCCUGGGCUUUGCUUUCUGUCCGUCCGUCGGUCAGAUGAAUGUCCCCUGCCUCUACAGGGAUUCUGCCGGGGUUAAGGCUCCAGGAUCGGGCCCAUCGGUAUGUGUUUGGCAUGCCGGCUAGCGGUCCGUGGUAAGACACCGUCAGCAGUAAGUGCUGGCUGUACCAGCAGCCAUGCUGCAAUGACCAGCGGGGCUGAACCGAGCCCUGCGUGCCAGGAGAGGACGGUAGCCCCGUGCUGCUGGCUGGGACAGGGGCUGGCUCACGAGGACAUCCCAGACCGUGGCUGCUGGGGGGACAGGGCGGUGGGGGACCUGCCUCAGCCAAGGGUCGGGGCAGCUCCGUCCGGGGGGGGGUGUAUGGAUCCGGCCAGCAUCCAGCUCCAGCUGCUCUCUCUUCCUCUGUCCUCGAUGGCUUUGGCUUGUGCUCACUGACCCUGUGGCGAGGACCUCCCCAGAGCACCCAGUGUCGCUGCCCAGCUUCAGUUUCGCCUGCCAGCAGCUCUCCUGCCUGCUGUUGGAAGGCAGCCCCAGAGCAGGGUCUCCUGGGCAGCUGGGGUCACGCAGAACCACUGCCCGCUUCCCCCGGCAUCCCUGGUCUGCACCGCCCACAGCCCGAUCCUUCAGCCAGGACGGGGGGGGGUCUUGCUGGGCUCUCGCGCUGACGGGGCUCCCCUCCCUACCCGGCUUCGUGGCUGCCCGACCCCCACCCUAACCCACUAACCACUCGCCCCCCUUUCCUCUGCGCAGCUGGGACCAGCGGGGAUUUUUGGGCUGACGCUCCUGUGUUUGGUUGAAGGGGGAGGCAGGGCCCUGCUGCGGGCUGAGGGCAGGGUCCAGCAGUGGCGUGGGGAUGGGAAGGAGCCAGGGGCGGGAGGACAAGGUGGGCUGGGCACAGGGCAGGCGGGUGCCCAUCGGGGCAGGCGGGUGCAGGGCUUCUGCACAGGGCAGGAGCACCGUGAGCGUUGGGUUGGCGUUGUUGAAGCCCACCCGUCAGGAGGGACUGCCUUCCCCACCCCCACGGACCCCCCUUUCAGCCCCAGAGCAGCCUUCCAGCCAGCCCCACGGCCAGGGGUCCCCUCCCCAGGCUGGUCACCGAGGGGAGCGAUGGGACCACGUGUCACCCAGAUGACAGAGGAUACACUGGGCAAGUGCAACCCUGCACAGGCAGCAAGUGCUGCCCACGGUGGGGACAGGCCACCAGCACUGCCGGGUGGCUGCUGCCCCCUGCAAGGCUCCCCCUUCUGAACAGAGAGAGGGGGGCUGGGGGGCAAGGGACGCUUCACGAAACAGCCGGGUUGCUCCUUUGCUCUGCCCCAGCAUCUCGGGGCUCCCUGCUCCUCCCCGUUUCCCUCGGCUGGGAGAGGAGUCGGUCAGUCUGUCUGUCUGUCUGUCCGUCCCCCUUCACUGGUGCCCCCCAAGCUGCCUGAAGAGGGGAAGUGGCAGCACAAGAGGGACGUGAUGUGCAGAUCCCCCUUUAUCAGCUGCAGCUAUGGUGGGUGUGGGGCCAGGUCACCCCAGCAGCGACGUGGGCAGAGGUCCGGGGAUGGCACCCAGCCCUGGGGUGCACCGUCCUGCCCAGGGCAUACUGGCCCAAGCUGGGGGGGGCUGCCCCUGGUCUGCCAGGACCUCGCUGCCACCCCUUGCCCAGCACGGUGGGAGCGGGCAGGGCCGCGGUGGGGCUGGGCACAGGAGUGGGGCUGAGUGCUGGCGUGGGGCGAGGAUGCUCUGGGAAAGGGGUCCUGGGGCUGCCUCAGCCGAUGCGAGCGAGCGCCCCAUGGGUCCCCACAGCCCUGAGGAGGACCCUACUGCCUGUAAUGUCUGCUGUGAACAUGGCAAGUGUGCAACCA